rnacentral:tRNA from 1 species
GGGAGUAUGGCUCAGUGGUAGAGUGCUGGCUUAGCAUGCAUGAGGCCCUAGAUUCGAUUCCUAGUACCA